rnacentral:rRNA from 1 species
UACGGAGGAUGCAAGCGUUAUCCGGAAUCAUUGGGCGUAAAGCGUCCGUAGGUGGCUUUUCAAGUCUGCCGUCAAAGACCGGGGCUUAACCCCAGAAAGGCGGUGGAAACUGAAUAGCUAGAGUGCGGUAGGGGUAGAGGGAAUUCCCGGUGUAGCGGUGAAAUGCGUAGAGAUCGGGAAGAACACCGGUGGCGAAAGCGCUCUACUGGACCGUAACUGACACUCAGGGACGAAAGCUAGGGGAGCGAACAGG